GUGCUCGCUUCUGCAGCAUAUAUACUAAAAUUGGAAUAACACAGAGAAGAUUACCAUGGCCUUUGUGUAAGGAUGACACGCAGAUUUAUGAAGCGUUCCAUAUUUUG
ensembl:snRNA U6 U6 spliceosomal RNA